rnacentral:rRNA from 1 species
GACUAACGCUGGCGGCGUGCCUAAUACAUGCAAGUCGAACGGGAUUCUUUGACCAGCUUGCUGAGAGAAGGAUCUAGUGGCGGACGGGUGAGUAACGCGUGGGAAUCUGCCUCUUACUGGGGGAUAACAGUGGGAAACUACUGCUAAUACCGCAUAAGAUCUUCGGAUGAAAGGUGCAACUGCACCGGUAAGAGAUGAGCCCGCGUCCCAUUAGCUAGUUGGUGAGGUAAAGGCUCACCAAGGCGACGAUGGGUAGCCGGCCUGAGAGGGUGAACGGCCACACUGGGACUGAGACACGGCCCAGACUCCUACGGGAGGCAGCAGUAGGGAAUCUUCCGCAAUGGGCGCAAGCCUGACGGAGCGACGCCGCGUGAGUGAUGAAGGCCUUCGGGUCGUAAAGCUCUGUUCUUGAGGACGAAUAAGCCAGGGAGUGGAAAGCCCUGGUGAUGACUGUACUCAAGGAGAAAGCUCCGGCUAACUACGUGCC